rnacentral:rRNA from 1 species
GAUGAACGCUGGCGGCGUGCCUAAUACAUGCAAGUCGAGCGAACGGACGAGAAGCUUGCUUCUCUGAUGUUAGCGGCGGACGGGUGAGUAACACGUGGAUAACCUACCUAUAAGACUGGGAUAACUUCGGGAAACCGGAGCUAAUACCGGAUAAUAUUUUGAACCGCAUGGUUCAAAAGUGAAGGACGGUCUUGCUGUCACUUAUAGAUGGAUCCGCGCUGCAUUAGCUAGUUGGUAAGGUAACGGCUUACCAAGGCAACGAUGCAUAGCCGACCUGAGAGGGUGAUCGGCCACACUAGAACUGAGACACGGUCCAGACUCCUACGGGAGGCAGCAGUAGGGAAUCUUCCGCAAUGGGCGAAAGCCUGACGGAGCAACGCCGCGUGAGUGAUGAAGGUCUUCGGAUCGUAAAACUCUGUUAUUAGGGAAGAACAUAUGUGUAAGUAACUGUGCACAUCUUGACGGUACCUAAUCAGAAAGCCACGGCUAACUACGUG